UACGUAGGGUGCGAGCGUUGUCCGGAAUUAUUGGGCGUAAAGAGCUCGUAGGCGGUGUGUCACGUCGUUCGUGAAAACCUGCAGCUUAACUGUGGGCGUGCGGUCGAUACGGGCAUCACUGGAGUUCGGCAGGGGAGACUGGAAUUCCUGGUGUAGCGGUGAAAUGCGCAGAUAUCGGGAGGAACACCAGUGGCGAAGGCGACUACCUGGCCUGUUCUUGACGCUGAGGCGCGAAAGCUAGGGGAGCAAACGGG
rnacentral:rRNA from 1 species